rnacentral:tRNA from 1 species
UGGAUAGAGCGUCUGGCUACGGACCAGAAGGCCGCGAGUUCGAAUCUUGUCACGUACA